GCAGCAGCAGGAUACCAGAGGAAGAAAUCAUCAUGGCAUUACUAGAAUCAUUAAGCACCCAACAAAGAUUGAAUCAUUAGCUAAACCAUGCGUAUGGAUAAGUGCAUUAGUUCUCAAGCAACUUGAUUCAAUUUCUUUUGCUAGGCCUGCAAAAUCAAAUAAUUUGACAGACCACAAUGGCCAAUAUAUGCAGCCAACCAUUUUAUUUUCUUAAGCAAUCUCAGUGUAAGGGGAAUUGGAAAAUUCAAGAGAUGGAUCAUCCUCUGAUCAUUCAUGGUCAUCGGCUGCUUGCAGCUUCUCUACUUCUACUCGUUAACUUGUCCGAAUCUUCUCCACUGCUUCAAGGUAACUCAAUAUUAUUACGGCUUUUAUUUAGUAACGUGAAACAUUGAUCGUAAUUUCUUUUAUCUUGUUCCUUAAAUGUAGGAAAAAGCUUCCCCCUCAUGACUUCAGAUGUCAAUGAGGUCUCAGGAAAGUCCUUUGAUUACAUUGUUGUUGGGGGAGGCACAGCGGGUUGCUCCCUGGCAGCAACCCUUUCAGAGAAAUUCUCUGUGUUAGUGGUAGAAAGAGGAGGCUCCCCUUAUGGAAACCCUUUGGUGGCAAAUAAGAUGUACUAUGGUUUCUCACUGCUCCAAACUGAUGAAUUUUCAUCAGUGGCUCAAAGCUUCAUAUCAAAGGAUGGUGUUAUUGGACACAGAGGAAGAGUACUUGGCGGAUCAUCAGCCAUAAAUGGAGGCUUCUAUAGCAGAGCUAGUGAUGAUUUUGUUAAAAGGGUUGGGUGGGAUGAAGAGCUUGUAAAGGAAGCUUAUGAAUGGGUGGAGUACAAAAUUGUUUCCAAGCCUGAGCUGACGAUAUGGCAAUCUGUUGUUGAAUUUGGUCUCCUUGAAGCCGGAUUUCUUCCUUACAAUGGGUUCAGCUGGGAACAUAUUGAGGGAACAAAGAUCGGUGGGACUAUGUUUGAUGAAUUUGGAAUAAGGCACACAUCAGCUGAUCUUCUGGGUGCAGGGAAUCCAGAAAAUAUCACAGUUCUGUUGACUGCAACAGUACAGAAUAUCAUUUUCUACAGCAAUCGUAAACGGAACGAUACAGCAGCUCGUGGCAUUAGGUUCAUCAAGAGCGACGGUAGCAGUGAUCAAACUUACGAAGCUUACCUUAACCAACCGGAGAAUUCGAUUUCAAGGGGAGAUGUCAUUUUGUCAGCAGGAGCAUUAGGCAGUCCCCAAAUCCUAAUGUUAAGUGGCAUAGGACCACAGAAGCACCUCAAGAAUUUCGGUAUCCCAGUUGUGUUGGACUUGAAAGGGGUAGGACGAGAGAUGAAAGACAACCCUGCCAUUUCCCUUUUAGCAGACACAAAAGCAGAAUAUCGGCUGCCAGAUACGCCUCAAGUUGCAGGCAUUGCAAAAGACUUCAAAUUCAUAGUACAAGGAGGAAUCUUACCUAUAAGCUUCAAUGCAACAAGGAUGCCAAUUGCAAUCAAGCUUGCAUUUCCAGAAUCUAAAGGGAGGCUGAAAUUGAACAGCACAGACCCCAGGGAAAACCCUUCAGUGCAAUUCAACUAUCUAGCUAAGGAAAACGACAUGGAUGGAUGCACCGAGAUGGCUCAAGUGCUUGAAAGGGUGACAAGUUCUGAAUCAGUUGCUCUGUUCCUGAAGACUGUAACCCAGAAUAAGUUGAUGUCCACUCCUCAUGAGCUGAGAAAUUUCUGCAAGAAGAACGUUAGGACCUACUAUCACUACCAUGGUGGUUGUACUGUUGGAUCAGUUGUUGACAAGGAUUACAAACUCCAUGGAGUGAAGGGUUUAAGGGUAAUAGAUGGAUCAACUUUCUUGGAAUCCCCAGGCACAAACCCAAUGGCUACCCUGUUAAUGCUGGGAAGGUAUCAAGGGAUCAAGAUUAUAAGAGAGCGAGAGAAUGAUUCUGUAUUUACUAGUCAAGAACACCCAUAGCUAAAAACUUGGCCUCAGCUGUACUCAUCACCAUGAAAGAAUAUUUAAUAUUAUCUUCUCUUCCUGGCAAGCACGGUUCUUUGGAAUCAAUUCAAUAUAACUAACCUUUAUUCCCUUUUACACAAUCUGAGCUGCAUAAUUUUUGUUGGACUAAACCCAAAUUUACAAAGGCAAUAUUACAUCAUUAGAUUCUUCCUAAUGGUUUGAAUUUCCAAGAUUUUGAUUUAAUUUAUUAUGAAAUGAAAACUGCUAUAAAUAAGGACAAAAAAAUAUACAUCUUUAUUUGUUAUCGAAGAUGAAACACAAAUGAUCUGUAUGCACAUGCUAUUAAAAAAAGUAACACACAAAGAAAAACCUUACAAAAAUUUAUCCGACUCUAGCCCUCCGUUUCUUGAUCAAGCCCUGGACUUGAAGAAAAGACAUCAUUAGAAUUACUUGAAGGUUGAUUUGAAUCCUCACUUCUCCUAUUACUAUUGAAAGAAAAACUAACCCAAAUUUCUCUUUCCAAUCUUCUCCUCUCUCUACCUUCUUCUUCCUCCUCCCUUUUCUUGCCUAAAUCCACCUCAUCAACAGGCAUCUUAUACCUGCAAACAGGGCAAGACCCAUGAAUCCCCAACCACUUCUCUAUACAAUUAGCAUGAAACCUAUGUUUACAGGGCAUCUCCUUUGCCAACCCACCAAGCUCCCACUCUUCUAAACAGAUAGCACACUGGCCCUCCUUAUCUCCAAUUUCUGCAAUCUCCACAGUAGGCAUGGCCCCUAUGGAUGCCUUUGAGGCAGGAGGCUGACCAUUCUUGGUAGCCAACUCUCUAAGAAGAGAAUCCAAGCUCUCAGAUCCUUCAAUCACCACCAUGCCUUGAGUGAAAGGGUUGAUAAGGAUGAUUCUUUCAUGUGGGGUGGCUGUCUGUGGCGUUUCUUGACCUGGAUCACUCUGGGUGGCAGUGCCUGCAAAGCCCAAGAAGAAAGGCAAAAACAAAGAGAGAUCUCUAUGCCUUAACAUCCUCUCAAAAGCAGAAGACGAUCCAGGUAGUUGAGUCUCAGAGGCCAUGUUAGAAAUCUUGAAAAAGGAGAGAGAAAGAUGAAGAAUUUAGAAUUGAAUAAUGAGAGGGGAGACAAUACCAGAUGAAGUAACGGAGAAGGAGAACAAUAUAAGAGGAAAGACGGGCGGCCACAGAGAAGACAAGAAGGUAGUAGAAAGAUCUGGAAUCUGCGUUGGCUACAAUAUAUUGCUUACGUUGCUCCGCUAUUGAUGUUUACCUCGUCACCUAAGCCCGUCUCUCACCACACGAUCGAUGAGAAGAUAUUUUAGAGGCAUAAUACGCCG
rnacentral:misc_RNA from 1 species